AAGAGAAAGAAAUUAUCACUAUGAUGUCAUCGCUGGAGACUGUUUGGUACAAUUACCUUGGGGAAAGCAGGUUCAGCCAUUACAGCAACAUGACUGGAGACAGAUAAAUUCAGCAUGGAGAGAUAAAAAUAAGAAGCUCUGACUACAGGCGAGAGAAUAUUUGUGUCCCAUUCUGAGGAAUUUGAGAGAGUCUGUCAGCAACAAAAGCUUCCUCCAGACACACACCCGGUAAGAGGAGUCCAGUAACAUGAGACCUUUCAAAAGUCUUUCAACAUCCCGAAAUGACUAGCUGCUAAAAUGUCAUCAUGGAGGAUUAACCCAGUACCCCAACACACAGCUGGAUUGACACUGAAAGCAGAGCUGCUCAUUUGCACACUCCUCCAUGCACAAAUUGCCCAUGCCCCAAGAAGGCA